UACGGAGGGGGCUAGCGUUGUUCGGAAUUACUGGGCGUAAAGCGCGCGUAGGCGGACCUGCAAGUCGGGGGUGAAAGCCCGAGGCUCAACCUCGGAACUGCCUUCGAUACUGCGGGUCUCGAGUCCGGGAGAGGUUAGUGGAAUUCCUAGUGUAGAGGUGAAAUUCGUAGAUAUUAGGAAGAACACCAGUGGCGAAGGCGGCUCACUGGCCCGGUACUGACGCUGAGGCGCGAAAGCUAGGGGAGCAAACGGG
rnacentral:rRNA from 1 species